rnacentral:lncRNA from 1 species
CGUCGAGGGGCACUAUAUAUAUAGGGUCACCUGCAUCCAAAACUCCACUUUUCGUAGCCCUGUUGCCGAGACUCUGGUCGAGUGGUCCCUCUUGUCUCAGGUAGUUGUCCCCGCCUUCCUCCUUGGAAAGUCUUGUCUCCUCAUUUUUUCUUUGCUUCCUUGAAAUUUUCUUCCUUCUUUUUCUUCUUCAUCCUUCGACCUUGGUUCUAGCGUCAUGGCCAGAACAUCCCCACGAGGAAGUCAGUCGGAAAACCCGACCGACGAUUCUCGGUCGACCCCGGAGGUGGAGGUUUCUUCACUUUCGGGAUCCAACGUCGAUCGACACCGGGAGCAGUACAGCAUCCCGGAGCAGUUUCGGCUGUUCACCCCUGGGGCCGACGGUCGGGUUAACAACCCGCCCCCGGGCCAAGUGGCUUUCUAUGUUAAGGACCUCCAGGCCGGUCUUCGUUUUCCAGUUUCGGAGUUUGUUCGAAAUAUUUUGGACUAUUACGGACUUUGUCCGGCGCAAC